GGCCUACCUCUUUGGGGUGAUUGAUCAUGGGGCUCCGUGAUCGAUUGCCUCACAGAGGGAGGCC
rnacentral:pre_miRNA from 1 species